rnacentral:misc_RNA from 1 species
GAUGAAGAACGCAGCGAAAUGCGAUACGUAAUGUGAAUUGCAGAAUUCAGUGAAUCAUCGAGUCUUUGAACGCACAUUGCGCCCCCUGGUAUUCCGGGGGGCAUGCCUGUCCGAGCGUAAUUGCUGCCCUCAAGCACGGCUUGUGUGUUGGGCCUCCGUCCUCCUCCCGGGGGACGGGCCCGAAAGGCAGCGGCGGCACCGCGUCCGGUCCUCGAGCGUAUGGGGCUUCGUCACCCGCUCUUGUAGGCCCGGCCGGCGCUUGCCGACACAUCAAUCUUUUUUCCAGGUUGACCUCGGAUCAGGUAGGGAUACCCGCUGAACUUAAGCAUAUCAAUAAGCGGAGGA